GGGAGGCAGGAGAAACAGCCAGGAGGCAGAUGAGCCCACAGAAGGGAUGGAUGGCAUCUCAGAAGGAGCCCUACCUAGUUUCAUGGACUUAAAGAUGAGGAGGGAGAACUGUACUUGGAAGGUUCUGUUAAUGCACUCUUAAAAUCUGUACAAUAUGUGCAUCAUUGCCCCUUUGAAGAAAACUGUGCUUCAGGGCAUGAUUACAUUUUCUUUUCUUCCAUGACUCCAUGUCAUUUUUGUUCAUCAAGAAGAGACACAUUUAAGCAAAGGUGUUUUGCUGCCCAAAUGCUUUCUUCUCAUCUUCCAACCUGGAGUAAUCCUGUGAACACAAUGUUCUGUAAGUAAGAGGUCGCAAGAAAACUGCCAAUUGUAUGUGAUAGGAACUGUCAAAAGGAAGCAAUGAUAUCACCAUGGAUUGCUUUAAUACUAUGAAAGUGAAGAUAAUACAUAAAAAGGUGUUCCAAGAUACAGUUUGUAUAAUUUUCUAUUCACUGCUGUUUCAUCUAUGCUAGAUACAUUUUUGAAAAAUCCAACCCA